rnacentral:rRNA from 1 species
UACGUAGGGUGCAAGCGUUAAUCGGAAUUACUGGGCGUAAAGCGUGCGCAGGCGGUUCGGAAAGAAAGAUGUGAAAUCCCAGGGCUUAACCUUGGAACUGCAUUUUUAACUACCGGGCUAGAGUGUGUCAGAGGGGGGUGGAAUUCCACGUGUAGCAGUGAAAUGCGUAGAUAUGUGGAGGAACACCGAUGGCGAAAGCGCGAUACUGGGCCAUAACUGACGCUGAGGAACGAAAGCCAGGGGAGCGAAAGGG